GACGAACGCUGGCGGCAGGCCUAACACAUGCAAGUCGAACGGUAACAGGAAGAAGCUUGCUUCUUUGCUGACGAGUGGCGGACGGGUGAGUAAUGUCUGGGAAACUGCCUGAUGGAGGGGGAUAACUACUGGAAACGGUAGCUAAUACCGCAUAACGUCGCAAGACCAAAGAGGGGGACCUUCGGGCCUCUUGCCAUCGGAUGUGCCCAGAUGGGAUUAGCUAGUAGGUGGGGUAACGGCUCACCUAGGCGACGAUCCCUAGCUGGUCUGAGAGGAUGACCAGCCACACUGGAACUGAGACACGGUCCAGACUCCUACGGGAGGCAGCAGUGGGGAAUAUUGCACAAUGGGCGCAAGCCUGAUGCAGCCAUGCCGCGUGUAUGAAGAAGGCCUUCGGGUUGUAAAGUACUUUCAGCGGGGAGGAAGGGAGUAAAGUUAAUACCUUUGCUCAUUGACGUUACCCGCAGAAGAAGCACCGGCUAACUCCGUGCCAGCAGCCGCGGUAAUACGGAGGGUGCAAGCGUUAAUCGGAAUUACUGGGCGUAAAGCGCACGCAGGCGGUUUGUUAAGUCAGAUGUGAAAUCCCCGGGCUCAACCUGGGAACUGCAUCUGAUACUGGCAAGCUUGAGUCUCGUAGAGGGGGGUAGAAUUCCAGGUGUAGCGGUGAAAUGCGUAGAGAUCUGGAGGAAUACCGGUGGCGAAGGCGGCCCCCUGGACGAAGACUGACGCUCAGGUGCGAAAGCGUGGGGAGCAAACAGGAUUAGAUACCCUGGUAGUCCACGCCGUAAACGAUGUCGACUUGGAGGUUGUGCCCUUGAGGCGUGGCUUCCGGAGCUAACGCGUUAAGUCGACCGCCUGGGGAGUACGGCCGCAAGGUUAAAACUCAAAUGAAUUGACGGGGGCCCGCACAAGCGGCGGAGCAUGCGGAUUAAUUCGAUGCAACGCGAAGAACCUUACCAAGGCUUGACAUGCACGGCGGCACUGCAGAGAUGUGGUGGCAUUUAGUUGGUCGUGUGCAGGUGGUGCAUGGUUGUCGUCAGCUCGUGUCGUGAGAUGUUGGGUUAAGUCCCGCAACGAGCGCAACCCUUGCCCUAUGUUGCCAGCACGUGAUGGUGGGGACUCGUGGGGGACUGCCGGGGUUAACUCGGAGGAAGGUGGGGAAGACGUCAAAUCAUCAUGCCCCUUAUGUCUUGGGCUUCACGCAUGCUACAAUGGCUGGUACAGAGGGUUGCGAUACUGUGAGGUGGAGCGAAUCCCUUAAAGCCAGUCUCAGUUCGGAUUGGGGUCUGCAACUCGACCUCAUGAAGUCGGAGUCGCUAGUAAUCGCAGAUCAGCAACGCUGCGGUGAAUACGUUCCCGGGGCU
rnacentral:rRNA from 1 species